rnacentral:pre_miRNA from 1 species
UUAACCCAUUUAACAACUCAACUCAUCAAAUUAAAUGAGUUAUGGGUUGACUCAACCCUUUUAACAAAAUGGGUUGGGUCAACCCAUAACUCAUUUAACCCUAAACUCAUUUGAUUAUGAGU